GAUGAACGCUGGCGGCGUGCCUAAUACAUGCAAGUCGAGCGAACAGACGAGGAGCUUGCUCCUCUGACGUUAGCGGCGGACGGGUGAGUAACACGUGGAUAACCUACCUAUAAGACUGGGAUAACUUCGGGAAACCGGAGCUAAUACCGGAUAAUAUAUUGAACCGCAUGGUUCAAUAGUGAAAGACGGUUUUGCUGUCACUUAUAGAUGGAUCCGCGCCGCAUUAGCUAGUUGGUAAGGUAACGGCUUACCAAGGCAACGAUGCGUAGCCGACCUGAGAGGGUGAUCGGCCACACUGGAACUGGGACACGGUCCAGACUCCUACGGGAGGCAGCAGUAGGGAAUCUUCCGCAAUGGGCGAAAGCUUGACGGGGCAACGCCGCGUGAGUGAUGAAGGUCUUCGGAUCGUAAAACUCUGUUAUUAGGGAAGAACAAAUGUGUAAGUAACUAUGCACGUCUUGACGGUACCUAAUCAGAAAGCCACGGCUAACUACGUG
rnacentral:rRNA from 1 species